rnacentral:tRNA from 1 species
GAGUAAUUAACUCAAGGGUAGAGUAUUUUAUUUACAUUGAAAACGUUAUUGGUUCAAAUCCGAUAUUACUCA